rnacentral:rRNA from 1 species
UACGAAGGGGGCUAGCGUUGCUCGGAAUUACUGGGCGUAAAGGGCGCGUAGGCGGCACAGUUAGUCAGGCGUGAAAUUCCUGGGCUCAACCUGGGGGAUUGCGCUUGAGACGGCUGCGCUUGAGGACGGAAGAGGGUCGCGGAAUUCCCAGUGUAGAGGUGAAAUUCGUAGAUAUCAGGAAGAACACCAAUGGCGAAAGCAGCUCUCUGGGACGGUACUGACGCUGAGACGCGAAAAGCGUGGGGGAGG